UGAGCACAGCCAUCAGAGGGAAGGUCUGGGGUGACUCAGCUGGAAUUCCUCUGAGGAGGUUUAUCACUGGUGGGCCAGUGACAACUGCAGCUACCUCCUGUUGGAUUGUUAACAACAGAAAAUAGAAGAGCAGGAAAAAGACAAGACAAGAGGUGGGAAGGAUUGGAUAAAAUCUCUCCUGGCCUCGUGCAGGCUCUGGCAAGGGGCAGCUCUCUGCACCUGCACACCCAGCUCGCAGCACAGGAGUCACGGGGAGAGCAGAGCAGAGCUUCCUGCUGAUCAUCUCCAGCGUGCCAGGGGAUGUGGGAGCGUCAUUCAAAUUCGGAAGGUUGAUGAGUGGAACAGAGAAGGAAACACCACGCAGUCCAGCACUGCACGCUCAGCUUUAGGAGCAGCUGCAGCUCAAAUGGCCUGAAUUUGCUGUAUAACCUUCAUCUUGCUGGGAAAAAGCCAUUUCCAAAGCCAUCCACCUUGUGCCAGC